ACGCCUGCUCUAAUUAAUGUAAAUGAGGUAUUGCCCUGGACUUUUUAGUUCCAUCUAUGCUAUCUGUCUCUGAAUUAGUGUAAGGUUGAAUUAUUUGCUGGUCAGCAGUGAGGUAUCUUUUCUGCAUCUAGGUAGAUAAUCUGUAUUUUAUUAUUGAUUCUGAGAGAGUUUUAGCUUUUUUAACUGUUAACAAUCCUUUGGUAUAUAGAUAAAUUUCCUGUCUUUUUGACUGGCAAUUUAUACCCCUGGAACCUUGUUAUAAGUAAUCCAGACUUGGGCUUUUAUUAUUCCAGAAAAAUAACUCGCAAUAUUUGUUAUAUAAAUGUAAAGGAAGAACCUCUCAAAGUAAUCUGGAGGCUGGAUUUUUCACAUCUUGAUAUUUCUAUAUGAAUUAUUUCAUAUGAGACACUUCCUAGUGCUUUCAAAUCACUGCUCUUCAGUCUAUUUUAGUUCCUUCUGUAGCUGAUACCUCAUGGCUUCUUUUUUAUAUUCUCUACUUGUAAUACGGUAAUUGCCAUACCUUUAAAUGUGUCCCUUUGAGGCAGAGGUGACAACUAAUGUGGUUUUUGGGAUUUUUAUUUUUAGCUUUCUGUGUAAUAUCACUCAAGGUAUCUUAGAGACCAUGUGGAUAGCUAUUUGCUUUUGAGAUUCUGAUACAGUUUUUCAGUUAAGAUUUUUAGAGAAAGAAAAUAGGGUGGGUAAUCAUUAAAAGUGGAAAUCUGAAGAUGAGGGCUUGUCAUUUGUCUAUUUACAUAUGGGUAAGCAGAGUAAUGGAUAAAUAUCUUAGGCCCUCUAAUAUUUCCUUUUUGAGGCAAUCAGUUAAGCAUUCCAUUUCUCAUUUAUUCGUUAUAAGAAAGCAUUAGGAAAU